GAGAGACGAAACAAGUGAUGUGGAGUAAAACUUAUAAAAGCGACCUCAGUUCGGAUUGAAGGCUGAAAUUCGCCUUCAUGAAGUCGGAAUCGCUAGUAAUGGCAGGUCAGCAUACUGCCGUGAAUACGUUCCCGGGCCUUGUACACACCGCCCGUCACACCAUGAGAGUUGGAGAUACCCGAAGCCUAUGAGCUAACUUUUAGAGGCAGUAGUCGAAGGUAGAAUCAAUGAUUGGGGUGAAGUCGUAACAAGGUAAC
rnacentral:rRNA from 1 species